GAGGGUGUAGCUCAGUGGUAAAGAGAGUGCUUAGCAUGCACAAGGUCCUGGGUUCAAUUCCCAGUUCCUCUA
rnacentral:tRNA from 1 species